CACUCGACAGGGGGUAGUGUCGCUCCGCAUGGAACGGUGCCGAGGGCAACUGAGGUGAGGACGAGAGGAGCAGCCUUGGUAGCAAUGCGCUCGUGACCACAUGUGAAAGGCAAACUGGCCUCUCGGGUGGUGUUGCGGUUGGCUGGAUUUAUAAAUGCAUCCGAUGUGAAGACGCAGACGCUGAACAGACGUUUCCUGCGUGACCCGAACGCAUGAGGAGUACCUCAUGAAGAUUUUCCCGCCAGUUGUAUAUCUGCAGCGAGCAAGCCCCACUCUCCACCGCCACCUCCUCCUAAGCUGUUGUACCACUUACAACUGAAUCAGGAUAAUCACACAUGAUCCUAUUAUUAGAGACGCUUCGGAUCAGCCGGACCAGGUGGUCCAAAACAUGCCUGAGGUGGCCAACCUUGCGUACAAUAUGUACAUGCACAUGAUGCAGACCAAGUACAGACAGCAGCAGCAACUCGCCUAGCCUCCGUUGCAAGCCAAGUCAGCAGAGAGCUCGCCUCCCGGCCCCAAGGAAGAGCAAGAGAUGGUGGCCGUGAUCCCGGAGCAGAGCGCCAUGGAGACGGAGAGCCAAGACGGAAGCGAGAAGGUGGAGAAGUCUAAGGGAGAAGCCAGCGAGCGGGAAGCAAAGCAGGAAGCAGCCUAGAUGCCCGAGCAUCCUGGACAGGACAGCGACAGCGAUGAAGAGAAUGAGGAGCACCUAAAGAGAGAAGAGCAAAAACAGAACACUUAGUUGGGACUAAUUGAGAGGACCGAGUGGAUGGCUAUUUACUACCUUGAUUAAACAUGUCAUGCUUAUUGAUUUUUUUGGGUCAUUUUUCAAUAAAGAUAAAUACAAAAAGUU